rnacentral:rRNA from 1 species
GCCUAACACAUGCAAGUCGAACGGGACUUAGUGGAAAGCGGCUUCGGCCAAUGGAAGCUAAGUUUAGUGGCGAACGGGUGAGUAACGCGUGAGGAACCUGCCUUCCAGUGGGGGACAACAGUUGGAAACGACUGCUAAUACCGCAUAACAUAAUCGAACCGCAUGAUUUGAUUAUCAAACCUUUACGUGCUGGAAGAUGGCCUCGCGUCUGAUUAGCUAGUUGGUGGGGUAACGGCCUACCAAGGCGACGAUCAGUAGCCGGUCUGAGAGGAUGAACGGCCACAUUGGGACUGAGAUACGGCCCAGACUCCUACGGGAGGCAGCAGUGGGGAAUAUUGGGCAAUGGGGGAAACCCUGACCCAGCAACGCCGCGUGAAGGAAGAAGGCCUUCGGGUUGUAAACUUCUUUUACCAGGGACGAAGGACGUGACGGUACCUGGAGAAAAAGCAACGGCUAACUACGUGCCAGCCGCCGCAGUAAAAC